ACGUUUGCUAUUUUUCAAAGAUCUGGACUUUCAGUUGGCAGAAACUGCCGAAUCUGGUAGGCGAUGGGAAAAUCGCUAUAUCUCUUAAACUACUUGGAGUUUUUCAACACACUUUUUUUUCAAUUAAACUAGACUCAAAGAGGUUUCUAUUGAAAUAAAAUUCGACUCCAUACGAGUUCGGAGUAAAAGCAGUUUAUUAGUUGAAGUUGAAUCUAUACAGUUUUGUUGAGAUGGAAAUGAUUCAAAAUAAUUCCUAUUAAGGAUUUUAAAGUUUUAUUGUUGAUAAAAUAUCACUUUUAGUUUAUAAAUGAGCUAUUGAUGUGUAUGUAUAUAUAUUGGAGAUUGGCAUUAUUAAAUGGGGAAAAGGAAAACGUUUUAUGUUUAUAGAAUUAUUCUUUAUUUAUAAUAGAUAAAUAAAUGAAUAAAAUGGAAUUUCCUACAUCCUCAAAGGUACAUGAAGUAUUUUGAUAAAGGAAGAACGAUUGUAUAUGAGUUAGAUAUAGUCGUUUAAGGAAAUAUGGGUAGUUAGAGAAAUGAGUGAAUAGUGAUUCACUGCAUUUGUUGUUAUCUUUUCUAUUAUUCACUCGAACACAUGUUUUCGUGUUAUCAAAGGUUCAAAUAAACAAAAGCGUCUGAGUAACCUAUCGCGCUAAGGAAAGAGAAUCGUUGUCUUAAGUAGCAAAACACUGCAAUCAGGUUGAGCUGAUGUGAUGAUGGUGCUGCAAUGAGCGGAGUCUCCAGGGUUGUUAAUAAAUAGUUAACCUGUCUAGAAUAUGUCUUCAUACAUAUGUCUAGCUACUUUCCGCUGCAAGAUGUUGUUGAUGUUAUAGUAUGUUAUGUCAUACUUUGAGUCUUAAGAGAAUGGUUUCAUAUGAUGUAUAACUUGAUUAAUGAUAUUAAUUAAGUUUUAUGCUGUCUUUCAUAGACUAUUUUCAAUUGAGUAUUCAUGAAUAAAAAUGACGAGUUUUAUUAAGAUGAGUAAGUUUUACGGCUAUAAAUGACGCCCCUUUUCUUCCCCUUCUUCUUUAACCCCAUCCCUAGUCGUAGAUCACUCGGCUUAACUAUCCUUAGUUAGGGCGGGCUGUGACAGAU